rnacentral:rRNA from 1 species
UACGUAGGGUGCAAGCGUUAAUCGGAAUUACUGGGCGUAAAGCGUGCGCAGGCGGUUAUGUAAGACAGAUGUGAAAUGCCCGGGCUUAACCUGGGAACUGCAUUUGUGACUGCAUGGCUAGAGUUUGGCAGAGGGGGGUAGAAUUCCACGUGUAGCAGUGAAAUGCGUAGAUAUGUGGAAGAACACCGAUGGCGAAGGCAGCCCCCUGGGUCAAGACUGACGCUCAUGCACGAAAGCGUGGGGAGCAAACAGG